rnacentral:rRNA from 1 species
CCUACGGGUGGCAGCAGUGAGGAAUAUUGGUCAAUGGACGAGAGUCUGAACCAGCCAAGUAGCGUGAAGGAUGACUGCCCUAUGGGUUGUAAACUUCUUUUAUAUGGGAAUAAAAUGUUCCACGUGUGGGAUUUUGUAUGUACCAUAUGAAUAAAGAUCGGCUAACUCCGUGCCAGCAGCCGCGGUAAUACGGAGGAUCCGAGCGUUAUCCGGAUUUAUUGGGUUUAAAGGGAGCGUAGGUGGAGUGUUAAGUCAGUUGUGAAAGUUUGCGGCUCAACCGUAAAAUUGCAGUUGAAACUGGCAGGCUUGAGUACAGUAGAGGUGGGUGGAAUUCGUGGUGUAGCGGUGAAAUGCUUAGAGAUCACGAAGAACGCCGAUUGCGAAGGCAGCUCACUGGACUGCAACUGACACUGAGGCUCGAAAGUGUGGGUAUCAAACAGGAUUAGAUACCCGGGUAGUC